AUUGAACGCUGGCGGCAGGCCUAACACAUGCAAGUCGAGCGGAUGAAGGGAGCUUGCUCCUGGAUUCAGCGGCGGACGGGUGAGUAAUGCCUAGGAAUCUGCCUGGUAGUGGGGGAUAACGUCCGGAAACGGGCGCUAAUACCGCAUACGUCCUGAGGGAGAAAGUGGGGGAUCUUCGGACCUCACGCUAUCAGAUGAGCCUAGGUCGGAUUAGCUAGUUGGUGGGGUAAAGGCCUACCAAGGCGACGAUCCGUAACUGGUCUGAGAGGCUGAUCAGUCACACUGGAACUGAGACACGGUCAAGAGUCCUACGGGAGGCAGCAGUGGGGAAUAUUGGACAAUGGGCGAAAGCCUGAUCCAGCCAUGCCGAGUGUGUGAAGAAGGUCUUCGGAUUGUAAAGAACUUUAAGUUGGGAGGAAGGGCAGUAAGUUAAUACCUUGCUGUUUUGACGUUACCAACAGAAUAAGCACCGGCUAACUUCGUG
rnacentral:rRNA from 1 species